CCUUAUAUAUUCACAAAUACGUUAAUAUAUAAAAACAUACUCGUACAGGAAUAUAUGAACUUAUAUUUAUCGUGUAGCAGGGCUUGAUAAUCAAAACGAAAAAAAUCUAUUUUGCAUAAACACUGCAAUGUGCAGAG
rnacentral:rRNA from 1 species